CCUAAAUACAGAAGUUGUCGGGGCCUGGCAACUGCCAAGCCUUCUCUCCAAUCCGAGGAGAAGAUACCCUUAGGUUACUGUUAUGUGCAGCUUUAACCCCCAUAGUUUGGGAAUCGGCACAGCCUUUUCAUGUGAUGAGCUUCCUAUGGAAUGGUGACCUGGGAUUGCCUGACCAACACCUCCCAAAAGGCAGGAGAGAAUGGGAAGGACGGAAUAUUACAAGGAUGGAGAGAAAGACGGAAGGGAUGGGCACAGCUCAAAGCUUCUGCAAAACUUUCUGAGGGAAAUCUCUGCUUUGGAAGUCGUGCUUCACUAGUGAGUGGCCAUUUGGGCUCAACUGCACCCAAGGAAGAGGAGUGCACAUCUCCAAGGGAGUCCCAUCUUUUCCAUUAGCACCCAGAGCCGUAUAAACACUCUUGCAACCACACUGAGAGAAACAGCACUCUUGGAGUCUCUGCAUUGCUAAGUGUUAAAAGAACAGAACAGUUUGAGUAUUGCCUAUUCUACCUCCAACUUAAACCACGUUUUUGAGACUAGCGUUUAGCUAUGGUGCAAGGUCAAACAUUAGCCCUAAAAUGGCAUAAAGGUUACAGCUGUGAGGAGGAGUUUAUUGACGUGACCGUAACCAUUGCUCCCUUACGAAAAUAAAACCACCAAAAAAAUCCAAGCAGGAUUAGAAGUUAUUGGCCUGCCCAAAGAUCAGCGCCUUCUUCAGCUUAGAUUUUGGUUAUUUGAUCCAGAAUGGGAUCCCGGAGAUUCCACCUUUUCCAUUGUUACUCCUUUUCACAUGAACAGCUCUUAUCUGCACGUAGAAAGAGCAGAACAGACUCCUAAUAAAAAUACCUCCCGGCUUAACUGCAUAGCUGGUAGCUCCUCUCACACAGUGAAACAGCAGCACGCACACUGCCAUAAAAUUGAUAGGAGAGGUGUUUCCCCGUGGGACUAUUAAAUGCAAAUUUCUUUUAGAUCAACGAGGAGACGAGAUAAGUUUUUACACACAUCUGCUGGGUAAUCUCCUUUGGAGAGAGGGCUGCUCGUCUCACGCGGGGUCUGGAGCUCACGAGGGCAGCUGCAAAGCGGACGACCGCUGCCAACAACAGCAGUCGGGAGAAGAGCCAGCCACACGUCCAUGUUGGUCGCUUAAGAGCUACAUCCAGCCCUGCCUGGGCUGCAGGGCCACCCCCGCCGUGUGAAGGUGAGGGGCAGGGGCUGCCCCGAGCACGGGGACGCGCAGGGCGCCCAGCCCUGGGAGCCGCAUCAGCCGGGGUUAGGAGAGCCGGGAGCAGCCGGGCCGAGCCGCGAUAGCCGGCGCUGCCCCGCCAUCUAGUGCCGCCGGCCCGCAUCGCGCUUCCAGAGAGGAAUCGGGCUUAGCCGGCCCGAAUUGCGGGAUCUCCGGCUAUUUUUUCCCCCCUCCCCAUUCAUUUGCAUCAAUAUUUUAUGUGCCGUAAUGGCUGGAUAACCCCGGCGCAAAGAGACUCUAUUUCACAUUGUCGAUAGAAACGGGAAGGGGAUAAAUUACCAGCGGCCACACGCGCUAUUUGUGGCUCAUUUGGAAACUUCUUGAGCUGAUUAGAUGCCUCCUAAAAGUAGAUAUCUAGUGUCAUUCGGAAUCACCGGAUCGCCUGAUUUAGUGCUGAAGCUGCGGAGGGAGCGAAGCCAUUAGCCGAGCACUCAACUUGUUUGGCAAAUGCGGCUUAGUCGUGCCCGACGUGAUUUACAUAUGGAAGCUUGGGAGCAGAGCCAGGUGAAUAAUUUUCAGUGACAGUGAAUAAUGGCCCGGAGCAAUUUUUGUGGGUCCUCCCCCUCCUUUGGUAAUUGUCCGUGAGUAGGUCGCAAUUUCCUCAAACGUAUUCGUUUUUCUGAACGUAUUUGGCGAAUAAUUCCAGUGAACUUAGGGGAUGCCUGUAAGGUGUGAGCAAGCAGUUUUUCAGGGAGCUCUAGAAUCAAUGGGCUUUUAGCUGGUGGGCUGGGAGUAAUGCUGUGUUAAGUCCUUUGGUCAAGAAACACAAGGGUUACUCAUGUACAGAUCUAUGAUUUACUUCCAAAAUCCAUUCACCCUUCUCGUGUAGCGUAUGCUGUGUCUGCAAACUCGGUGCCAUGACAUCUUUAAGAUUAUAAUUAGAUAUGAAAAAAGAAAGAAAAAGAAAGAAAGAAAGAAAGAAAGAAAGAAAGAAAGAAAGAAAGAAAGAAAGAAAGAAAGAAAGAAAGAAAGAAAGAAAGAAAGAAAGAAAGAGAGAAAGAAAGAGAGAAAGAAAGAGAGAAAGAGAGAAAGAGAGAGAGAAAGAGAGAAAGAAAGAAAGAGAGAAAGAAAGAGAGAAAGAGAGAAAGAAAGAAAGAAAGAAAGAAAGAAAGAAAGAAAGAAAGAAAGAAAUAAAGAAAGAAAGAAAGAAAGAAAGAAAGAAAGAAAGAAAGAAAAGAAAGAGAGAAAGAAAGAAGAAAGCAAGCAAGCUGGGGAUACGAUCCUGUCCAGUUUUCUAUUAAAUACAAGUUAACUGUUGGUGAACGUCUUGCUUUUAGUUUUGAUUCCAGUUCAUCCUAGUAGCAUCCAAAAUGGAGAUGGUGGAGAAGUGACUUUGGCCACCCCACAGUCAGCUCUGGGUGUGAAGAACUGAAGUCUCCUGACUCAUGAGUGGAAGCUGGCAGUGAGGGAGAAAGAGCCAGGUUGGACUCUGAAUGUCAUUUCCUUUACAGAAAAAAAAAAAAAAAAUCCCAUUGUUGGCAAGCAAGUGGCAGAAACCAAUUUAGAAAUCAUCUCUGAUUUCUCUAUAUAAAAAUUCCUUCUGCAGUUGGAUCCACAUAUACUACAUCAUAGGCACAGGAACUCACUGUAGAUGAGCAUCAGCGUUAUUUAGGUAAGGGAUGAGUACAAAAAUCACAUGCUAAGUAUGUUAAAACGUAAAUGGUGAUGGGGCAAAGUAAAACAAAUUUAUCUGAGCUGGGGAUGAGCCGUAGUGAAGAAAAUGAUGGUAGAUGACGAGCUGUAUUCAGAACACCUCCACCACCUGUUUCCAUGGGAAAACAAGGCAGCAGCCGAACCAGCAACAGAAAUCUUGGCAGCUUUCAAGAAAAGCAAUACCACACCCCAUAGGCUUGGUGAGCUAUGAAUAACACCAAGGUUCAACUUUACAUGCUAGCACAGGAUAUACUGUCAUCUACAAUUCAAAUCUUUACUUAGGAGUUUAUUGGGUUCAUUAUCAAGAGAGAACAACAAAGAAGUGUUUGAAGACUGGAUCCAGUGAGACCUGGUUUUCUACAGAUUUAUGGCUUGAGGCUCAGCACCUAAGAGGACUUUGUACUGCCUAACAGCAGUUAUGCUCACAUUGUACGUUUUCCCCCAGCUGGGAACGGUAAUAGGGUCUUUCCUACCCAUAUUUCCACCUUCUUGUAACUCAGAGAAAGUUUUUAUCUUUCACAUCUUUGGCCCUCUGUCAAAGUUGCUUAAAUUGACCGGUGAAUUUAAAAACUGUUGAGAUUACCUGGACUGAAAAUCAACAAAAGUGAUGGAAUUAGCCUUGCUUCCUUAGCAAACUCAAAGCUAAUCAACACUACGUUAGAGGGACAGAAACUUCAGACUUCAAAAUGGAAUCGAACAGCAGCAGAAAGAAUGACCUUUUCAAAGCCAGGUCCUUACUAAAUGCGCUCCUAGGAUGAAGGGAGGGAACCCACGAACACAUAGCAUCCAGCAUGACUUGUUUUCCAUCUGGCAGAUCAACCAGCAGAAACCAGUCUGGGACCAGGUUCAGGGGACUGCCCUUCGCUUGCAGUCGGUUUCAGAGCUGCCUCAGUGAUGGGCUAAUGAGGUUCACCCACUGCCAGGCACCUCCCUGCGACUGAGAGCCACUGUACUGCAAAGCAAAGAGAACAACUUUGAUACUCUCUGGAGGUGAGACGGCAAGUGCAGCUGCGAGGCUCAAAAAGAAAGCACCAGAAAGCAGAGUACGAGCUACUGCUUGUCAUAUAGCAGAGGCAAACGUGAGCACAACCAAAACAACAGAGUGAUCACAACAGCGUUAUCCGAUUAGCAGCACCUGCAACCAACAGAAACAGAUCUUCAAAUGGAGCUGUCAGCCGCCGUUGCAACACCAAGUGUGCUACAACACACUGAGUGGGAAUAAGGAGCAGUGGUGUAAGAGGUGCAAUUGCAAGAGCACUGAAGGGACACUUGGCAGCGCUUGCGUGCCUGAAAUUAGAUCUGCCCAUCUCGUGCAUGGGUGCGUGGGGGGUGCCAGGUGGGAUUACAAUGAGGCUCUGCUUUCCCGUGAGGCAAAAAAUGUAUUCAAGUUCAGCCAAGAUAUAUGGGUUUAUAUACAAUGAUAUUAUUACUGUUGUUAUUGUGAUACAUGGCAUAAUAACUGCCUUUUACACACAUACCCAGACACGUGUACCGCCAUGCACUUAUUUUCUUUGUUACGAAAAAUAUUCAGCAUAUUGAAAUGUCACCAAAGUAUAGUUUAUCUGAUCGUAUUUCUUCCAUGAAGGGUAAGUGGUAAAAAUAAAGAGUAUUGAUAAAUCGGAAA
ensembl:lncRNA